rnacentral:rRNA from 1 species
CUCAGUUCGGAUCGGAGUCUGCAACCCGACUCCGUGAAGCUGGAUUCGCUAGUAAUCGCGCAUCAGCCAUGGCGCGGUGAAUACGUUCCCGGGCCUUGUACACACCGCCCGUCAAGCCAUGGGGAGCCGGGGGUGCUUGAAGUGCGUCGCCGCAAGGCGCGCCCUAGAGCAAAACCGGUGACUGGGGCUAAGUCGUAACAAGGUACC